UUCUCUGAGCACUAGCUGGAACACGGCGGCUCUUCUUUCUUCCACUCUGAGACAAGAACACAUGCGCUUUUCCUGUAAGUGUUGUCUCCCCAGUUAUUCUGGAGACCAUCCAGAAGAGAAUGAGAAUAAAGAAACCAACAGAAGAAAGAUAAAGAAGGAAGAAUAAAAGAUACCAAAAUGACAGUUAUCGCUUGCUUCGGAGAGUUUCGCUCUUGUGGCCCAGUCUGGAGUGCAGUGGCACCAUCUCAGCUCAUUGCAACCUCCGCCUCCCCGGUUCAAGCGAUUCUCCUGCCUCAGCCUCCCGAGUAGCUGGGAUUACAGGCACCCGCCACCAUGCCCAGCUAAGUUUUUGUAUUUUUAGUAGAGACGGGGUUUCGCCAUGUUAGCCAGGAUGGUCUCGAGGUCCUGACCUCGUGAUCUGCCCACCUCAGCCUCCCAAAGUGCUGGGAUUACAGGCGUGAGCCACCCCGCCCGGGCAAUUUGUAAAUUUUUAAGAAACGCCCUUUGUUGUACACAAAUUAGACUUCAAUAAAGUUAGCCUUAAAACAGAAAACUAGAGGAAAGGAGAACUGGCUCAAAUUUUCUGUACUUUUCUCCUGUAACCACCCCUCAUUUCCUCCUUGAG
ensembl:lncRNA RBMS3-AS2 RBMS3 antisense RNA 2